GUCCGGGCCUGGAGCAGAGAAAAGGGCCUCCAGGUGAAGGUGGACAGCCCGCAAUGAUUAACCCUCCCCACCGGAUGAUCCCUGCAGCAUAGAUGGCCCGGACCAGCUCACACACCCUUCCCACCGAGGGGAGGAUAGGAAGUAACUUCAUGAGAUAUCGCCAGUAUCGCUGUCCCAGACUCCAGUGUGGUCUUCCUCCUGCUUCUGGUGCCCGAUCGGGCAAUGAGAUGUAUUGGGUCCAGGCAACAAAAAGAAGACUAAGCCGGGGUUCAAGACAUCACACUGCCGCUCAACCUAUUACCAAGGCGAGACAUCACUGUGGCUAGGGGAUAGCUGAGCUGUGUCACCGACCAAAUACACUACUGAAAUAGGAAAAACAAUAACUUUUAGCUGAUCGGGAUGAACUCACUUGAAUAAAACACUUCUCUACAAGAUGGCCUUUGAGAAGUGGAAACGCUGCCCAUCAUAUUACUCAUCAAUGUGCCAUCACUGCAGCUACAGAUAGUGAGAAAAUAUCCUAUACCACUGUCAUGCCAAAGCUUGCCAUCAAAAGUGGGAAUGAAGUCCUGAAUAUUGCUUUACACCAAGGAUUGCUACUUGUGAGGAUUCUUAUACAGUUUUACUCAUUUGGAUUUAAAAUUUGAGAAAG